rnacentral:rRNA from 1 species
CCUACGGGUGGCAGCAGUGAGGAAUAUUGGUCAAUGGCCGGAAGGCUGAACCAGCCAAGCCGCGUGAAGGACGAAGGUGCCAAGCAUUGUAAACUUCUUUUGUCAAGGGACAAAAUCAGGCUCGAGAGCCUGACCGAGGGUACUUGAAGAAAAAGCAUCGGCUAACUCCGUGCCAGCAGCCGCGGUAAUACGGAGGAUGCGAGCGUUAUCCGGAUUUAUGGGGUUUAAAGGGUGCGUAGGCGGGCUGUUAAGUCAGCGGUAAAAGCCCGGGGCUCAACCCCGGCGAGCCGUUGAAACUGGCUGUCUUGAGAUGUCGAGAGGUAUGCGGAAUGCGCAGUGUAGCGGUGAAAUGCUUAGAUAUUGCGCAGAACUCCGAUUGCGAAGGCAGCAUACCGGCGGCGAUCUGACGCGGAGGCACGAAAGCGUGGGUAUCGAACAGGAUUAGAUACCCCUGUAGUC